CCUUUGUCGGUUCCAGGUGAUGGUUAGAUUUUACCAUAAGUUCUGGCAAUUUCAUUUUGUUAUCAGCUGUUUGCUGCAACAUAACAACUUGCUUAAACUUGUAGAUGCUUUAUAAUUUACUUUCUUGCAGGCAACUUCUUUGAUCAUUGAGGCUACAGCUUGGUGCUCUGUGCUUAUUAUGAUAGGACUGGAAGCAAAAAGUUACAUCAGGGAGUUUCGGUGGUAUGUGCGUUUUGGGGUAUUUAUGGUCGGGGAUGCUGUGCUUCUCAAUCUCAUUCUACCAGUGAAGGAUUUGUACAGUAGGUUAGAUUCCUCCCAUUCCUCAAUUUAGUUCGUUUACCAUAAGCCUCUUAAAAAAUAAAAUUCUAUGAACAUUUUUUUUUGGGGGGGGGGGGUUGGGGGGGAGUUAGUGUUGUAAUAUGAGCUAAUUAUUUAUGAUUUGUGAUCCUUUUCUCAUAUACAUGUUCUUUUAUAAGCCUCACCUCAUCCCAUGAAUAUUAUUGGAUCAUUUAGUAAAUGUUUGUUUAUAAAUCUCUAAGCAAAAAUAUCUUACUGGUUUUGGAAGAGUCAUAUAUUAGGGUGAAGCAUAGUUAUCCUUUUUUUUUCUUUCAUUAUCACACACCAUUAUUUGUAGAAGAGCCCACCAUCAGCAGUAAUGACUCUUUUAACUGCUAAAAUUAUGUAAUAAAGAAAUUUGACCAUAGAAAACUAUUUUGGAUUAGAUAGACACUUUCAUACAUUUGUGAACGAUUGAUUAGUUGGAGAUGUGGACUUAUAUCCUUGAAGGGAAAAGACUUUUCUCAAGCUUUUUCAUUCUUAUUUUUUUUGCCCCCUGAGUUUAUAGAAUCUAGUCCAUUUACAUGGGUCAACAGUACAGUCACACUGACAAGUUUAUUUGCUCAUGCAGCUAUGUGUUGUAUUUGAGCAUCAGCUUGGUUUUCUGUUAGGUUUGUUGUGUAUAUUUGCCUUUUAUCGUACUCAUUUUUCCUAUAUCUUUAUAAAAGUAGUCUUUACCUGCUUUUAUAUUUUCCUUGGUGUCAUAUUGGCUGUCCUAAUCUUAUGUAGCUGCUUGAAAUCUGGCUAAAAGUGUCAUUAGCAAAUUGUGUUGUACAAAAAAAUUAACGAAAGUUAUAAAGGGACAUAACUCUCUCUCCUUUUCACAAUCUUCCUACUACCCAUGCCCUCUGGAAAUAUUAGCAUCACCUCUUUUUCCAAAUAUUCAUUACAUUGGCCACUUACAUAUCUGCUUUUAGUUGACAUGACUUAACAUCAUUUUAGGUUUACAUGACUUAGCAUCAUUUUAGCCCACCUCCUCCCUUUUUUGGUUUAAAACUUAAAAGUUAGCAUUCUUCUCACUUUCAUUGAUUGACAAAAAUAUGCUAGGUCUUGAAACCAAAGUGGAGAAAAAAUUUAAGCCUGAUUUAAGUAGCAUGACUAGUUUUUUGUCUAGAAUGUUGCUAGACCAUUGAGGCCAUUAUAAUUUCUUGGAAUUUGAUGUAACUAAAUUCAAGCUUCUGGUCAAAUGUUAAUACUUAAUAGGACAGUCUAAAAUUAAAUCUUUUGGGACAGAAAAACCUGGACAGUUCUUUGACUUAGCUUGUUAAUGCUUUUGUCUUCAAGUCAUUUUAAGUCAGUUUCAUUUAUUUGUGCUUAUUUUCUGAUGUAGGUUUUAUUUGGGAUUCUUCUAGUUGUUUAUGUUCGUAACCUCCAUCCGUCUCCUGGGUAUGUUUUGAUACAAAAUGAGUCUCUUGAUGAUGAAGAAUAUGAACCACUUCCUGAAGGAGAGCAAAUAUGUCCCGAAAGGCAUGCCAGCAUUAUUUCAAGUAAGUACUCUGAUUGAUUGAUUAUGAUACCACAAGUUUGAAAAGUUCAAAUGGUUGCAGGUUGCUAGUUAUUUUUAGAAAAGCAGCAUUUUGAUGUAACUAUAACAGGGUAAUUACUUGGAUAGACUGUGAAUAAGGACUGAUGUUAUAGCAAUAUAUGCAAGUCUUGGGAUUGGGAUGUUUACAUUUUGAAAAGAAUAUACGACUGUACGUAUGUGAGUUUGAAAAGUUCAAAUUGCUGCAGGUUUGCUAGUUAUUUGUAGAAAUACCAUUUCGAUGGAACUAUAUCUAGGUAAUGACUUGGCUAGACUGUGAAUAAGUAACUUUGUUAUUGUAAAAUGUGCAAGUCUUGGAUGUUCUACAUUGUGAAAAGAAUAUAUAUCCUCGGUCUAUGUUGCUUGGACUCAAGAGGAAAUGUCAGACAUGGGUAUGUGUUCAACAUAGGUACAUUCAAUUUUUUUCUAGAACUUCCCUAAUAUUUGGAGGGUUGAAAUCUCAAUGCCCCUUACCCAUGUCCACUUUGAAGUGUCAGGAUACAUGUUUAACAAGGGUACUUUGGGAAAAUUGAAGUCAGAGCAACAUAGCCCUUGAAUUUAUUUUAUUUAUUUAUUUAUUUGCUUUUGGGUUCUUUCACCUAUGUAAUUUAUUCUUGCCCAUCCUCCCCCCUUUUUUCUCUGCAAAGGGCCAUUUAGUAAGAUAUGGUCAGUGGGGAUGCACUAGGAAAGACAGUUUGGACUGUUCUACCAAAUUUAAACAUUUUCUAUUAUUUUGCAAAGAUCAGUUUUGGACUAAUUGUUGGUAAGUGAUGCGUUACUAUGAACUUGUGAGCUUCUAAUUAAAAGUUUGUUGCAAUAUGCUAUGGCAGAAAUAUCUUUCGGAUGGAUUAAUCCACUCAUGUGGCAAGGGUAUAGAAGACCUCUCACUGAAAGGGAUGUUUGGAAGUUAGAUAAAUGGGAUCAGUCUGAAACAUUGAUUCAGAAGUUGGCAUUCUGUUGCUUCCCUUGGAUUUGCUUCCACAUGAAAAUUCAUAUGGUCACUCAACGAUAGCAAUUUCUACCUUUGCAGGUUCAUUAGAUGUUGGGCCAAAGAAACUCAAAGAUCUAAGACAUGGCUUUUGAGAGCAUUGAAUAGUAGCCUGGGAGGAAGGUUAGUUAGCUAUGUGGUUACAUUUUUUCUCUUCCUUUAUAAUUAGUGGUGAUAUGCAUCCUGAAGAAUUUCUUUGCUAAGUGUAGAUGUCAUCUUGUCCUAAUUAUCUUAACUCUCUUUUUUUGAUAAAUGAGUCAUGCAGGUUUUGGUUGGGAGGUAUUUUUAAGGUGAUCAGGGCUGCCAAAAUAAUUAUUGUGAUGUGAGUAUGUUUGUUGAGCUAGCUCUCAGACAAUUAAAAUAAAUAAAAGAGUAAAAUGGUCAAAUAACAGGCAUAAAUGAUCAUAGACUUGUAAUUUAAGACUUCUUAUUUGUUGAUUAUAUAAAAUAUGAGCAUGUAGCUAUGCUCAUGGAAGAAAUUUUUUCUAAUUUAAUGUAAUCAUGAUAACUAUAUUACCAUAGCUCUACUUGCUCCAUAUUGUCAUGUUACCAAAGCUCAAUUUGCUGGCAGUGGCUUGCAAAGGCACUGGGUUGUUCAACCAACUUAUUUCAGUAAAGAUGCCAAUAAUCUGCUGACAUGUUGAGAAUGUAUUCUGGAAAUCAACAUAGAGUUUUAUUUUUUUUUUUUUAUGUUGAAAGGAAAAGAUUUACUGAAUUCUGUGGUCAGACUAAUCUGGAUUAAUUUAAAUUAUUACAUAAACUUCAACCAGGUUCAGCAAGAGAUAUAACAUUGGCAUGCAUAAGAUUAAUGGAAUUGAAGGUGGCAGUUAAAGUAAAAUCAGGUGCUUGUGUAAACAGUCUAUUGAACUCCAUGUCUGUUAAGUUUGUUAUGAUGUCUAAAGCAAAAUUACUUUUAAUGCAUAUAACCAUCUGUAAUUGAAACAACAUAUAUUUUGUAUAUAUUAUAUAAAACAAGAGAAGGUGAAGUGUUGAUGAAACAAUUCUGCUUCAUCCUUGUCAAAGGUUUUUGGAUGGGUGGGGAGAAUUUCAGUGUUGGGCAGAGACAAUUAUUGUGUCUUGCUCAAGCAUUGCUGCGAAGGUCAAAGAUUCUUGUUCUUGAUGAAGCAACUGCAGCAGUUGAUGUUAAGACUGAUGCUUUUAUCCAGCAAACCAUUCGUGAAGAAUUCAAAUUCGCACAAUGCUAAUUAUAGCUCACAGAAUAAAUACCAUCAUUGACUGUGACCGGAUUCUUGUGCUUGAUGUCGGUCAGGUGUGCCUUCUCGCUUAUUGAUAUUCUUGGAUAUUUCUGUGUCUUUUUUUUUUGCUUUCUGCAAAUUUUCCAAAUUUAGUAGACAUCUUGUAGCUAUGAUAUCCAUAAGGCAAGAUUGACUCUUUUCCAGGAAUGGCUUGGUAAAUUCUUGCUUAAUAUAUGAAGACUUUUUCUAUGCUAUGAUUAAGUGUUCUUUUUUUCAAUUGGGAAAAUAGAAGAUACUCAUUAGUGGUGACUAGCUAACUUCUGAUGCUGCUCUUUCAGGUUCUAGAGCACAAUACUCUAGAGGAACUGCUAGCUAAUGAAGAAAGCACAUUCUCUAAAAUGGUUCAAAGCACACAGCCUGCUAAUGCAGAUAGAUAACUUCUGAUGCUGCUCUUUCAGGUUCUAGAGCACAAUACUCUAGAGGAACUGCUAGCUAAUGAAGAAAGCACAUUCUCUGAAAUGGUUCAAAGCACACGGCCCGCUAAUGCAGAAUAGUACGUAGCUUAGUUUUUGGAGGUGAGGAGAAUAGGUUGAGUAUAGAACAUGCCACGGGGUUCGAUGGUCAGAUGAGAUGGCAGGCAUCAUCCCGCUGGGCUGCUGCUGCACAGUUUGCCCUAGCUGUUAGCCUCACUUCUUCACAGAAUGACCUUCUAAGGUUUGAUAUUGGAGAAGAUAUGAGCAAUAUCGUCCAGAAAACUGAAGAUGCGGUCACAACACAGCAGGGUGUUUUGGAGGGAAAGCAUGAUGAAGUUAUAGAUGAUAUGCUUCACCAGCACCAAGUUCGCAGAGAUGGAUGGUGGUCAGCUUUUUACAGAAUAAUUGAAGGUACGCAUGUAGUAAUUUCUUAUACACGUAAACUCCUAACAAAAUCACAAAUCAGACAAGUUAGCAUAAGCUUGUGUAUCUUGGUGGUGCAUACCUUCUUUUUAUGUUGUCAGUGAUAUUUAGUUUACUUGAUUAUUGGAUGACAGACGGGAUUAAAAAGGCACAUGAUUAUUGGAUAACUUAAUUUCUCAGCAUUACAGAAAUUAGUAGUGGUAGCCAAAAUCUCUGACAAUUGAUAGAUAGCCCACAUCUUUUGAAUCCAGGAGAACAGUAGAAUAUACUGCUCCUUUUCAAAAUGGAUGUUCCUAGUGAUUUAAAUGUUCUUUUCACUGUUGUUCUAGCAAAUACUAUAUUUUGAAAAGGAAUAGUAUGACUCCCCUACGGUCUCCUGUGGAAGAAUGGCUCCCUCAACUACAAAAAUGUGAAACAAUAAUAUCGUUCACCAGUACGCAAAACACUACCCAGACAAUAGUAAUCAUAGCAUGGGUCCAAUCCUAAUGCGUACUGGAAUAAAGUUUUGUUUUAUUCAUGGUCAAUGAUUGAUUGAUUCUCUGUUUCAGGUCUUGCUGCAAUGAGCAGGUUAGCUCAACAUAACAGGCUCAACAAUCAGAGUUCUACUCCGAAGCCAGAUCCAUAGAUUGGGAUGAUAUUGAAAUAUAAGCAGAUAACUAGAGGUAAAUAUUUUAAUAAAAGAUUGGAGCGGACAGCUGCAUCUUGAUGAGCCCGAUAGUAAAAUGUCAAUUUUAUAAUGUCUGAUAUUCCAAAUGGGGAGGAAAGGAACUCAAUUGCCGUGCCACGUAAUUUUAAACGAGCAUGUGGCUCCUUGAUUGAUUUGGUGUUGUGACUCAAUUAUGUGAUUCUAAAUAAGUUUAUUGGAAUUCGAAACAAAGCCUGCAGCCCUGCACCUGAAUGAACCAUGACAAUUCAUUUUUGGUGGUGGGACUUUGGAUUUUCCUCUCACGAAAUACAUGAUUAUUUGUUGGGGGCUGUAUGGCUGUGUUGUACGAUGAACAACAAUGAAUCAAAUGGCAUCAAACAUCGAAUUAAUGGCUUGAUGAGGAAAGUACCCCAUAUUAGCCGCUUCAUUGUAGCAUUCAACUGUUAUCCGCAUUAGAAGUCGACUGAUCAACCAUCAAAAAACUUGAAAUAGGAUUCUUUUGUCGUGCUCCGCCAAGAUCAUCAUCGCUAGCAGUGAUGGAUGAAAGUGACAAUUCCCUGCACAUGGUUUUGUUUCCUUAUCGUUAAUUUCUACCCUCAUUCCUCAAACAUGUACGAUGUCAACUGUCAAAUCAAAUAUAUUUUAACACUUAACAGAAAGAAGAGGAGCAUUUCCACAGAAAGUGAUAAUCAACAGAACCAGUCUUAUGAUAAUUCAGUGAAGUAGAAAAACAACAUUAUAUCGGAAUUUUUCAUGACACUUUUUGGUCAAAUUUCCAUUUAAUGUUUUGCAGUGUGAAAUUAUACAAGCUAAUAUAAUCAAAACUUCACUGAUUAAAAACAUUUAUCUUUCUCUAAAGUUGCAAAACAUCUAUGCCUUCUCAAUUUAUGUUGAAGUGGUAUGAAAUUAAUCCUUUGUUGACAUUGGAGGUGCUAGUUUCUUUCUUAAUGAGAAUGUACAUUGAAUUUGAUUGGUUGAACCUUGAUCCAGGCCCUUGGGGUGUUAUGUGAAGCUCAAUAUUUUCAGAAUGUCAUGCGUGUUGGAUUUCGGCUGAGAUCUACUUUGGUAAACUUGUCUUUAUCUCGGAAACAAUUUAUUUCAUUCAGUUUUGCUUGUCUUUUGGAUUACGAAGAGGCUUAUUUAUUUCUUUUCCUUUUAUUUUCUUCAUGUGUGGGAGAUGUUGUUGAAGGGAUGGUUGAGAGUGCCUUUGUCUCAUUGAUAAUGACCUUACAUCCUCAGUACUUUUAAAUCUUUCAUUUUAGCUUUCUACAUUUGGAAUUUGUCUUUUCUGGAAGAAUUGUUUGGCGAGUCUAGCUUAGCUAAUUUAUUAUUUGGCUGCUGAAAUUAUCUGCUUCUUGUUCGCAUUUACAUUGGUCAUCCUGUUGCCAGAAUUUUGCUUUUCGUUCUGCCAUCAAAGAAUUUAGCCCGGCCUUGAGAGGCCCCAUCUUGGUUUUAAGCCAAUGACUAUUGCAUUAUGUUUCAUAAUUCUGAACUGCAUGUUACAUUGGUGUAAUUGUAGGUUAUGUGUAGCUCUUGCUUUUUAUCACUGCAUAUUACUGCAAUGUCUCCCUGUCUGGAACAAUAGGUCAGAUAUUCCUUCAUAUGGCUUUCCAUAACUGGAUAUUUUCGUAGAAAAUUUUCCAAAGUUUCCAGCGAGGAUGUUAACCUUGAAUCUUUAUUAGAUAAUAAUGUUAACCAUGAAUCUUUGUUAGAUAAUCAUACAUUUUGUAACUUUUUUUUGCGUACAAAGUUUGCACCCCAUAACUUUGACAUACAUGAUUUUUUUUUUUUUAAAUAAGAAAAAUAUUAUUAUCAUUUUAUUCUAUCCUGUGAGUUUUGGCAAUGGGAAUAAUAUGGAGCCAAUUUCCUUCUUAUAUUUGUGAAUGCCGAAUUUUAAUUUAUUGAAACUGCUUCUGAAAAAAAAAAAAAAAAAAAACAGUGUUUGAAUUAUUGGAGGAUGAAAAAGAGUUGGAAAGUUAAAUGGGAUUAAAAAAAAAAUUUGGCCAUUUGGGCUCAAGCGAGGAGAAAUCUCUUUAAGAAAAUAAAGAUAAUGAUUAUUUUUUAUUCUUUAGGAUAAAAAGUUAUGGGCCGGAUUAAUUAGUAUUUGUUAAUGGCCCAUUUAACCCAAUUAAAGUUCAAUUUUUUUAUGCGUUCAAUAUGACCGUUAGUUCCUUCCCCUUUUAAAGGCGGUGAUGCGUGGCACUAGAAAAAAAUUACCGGGCAAGUAACCGCCAUCUAUUUAUAAAUAGUUUUUACAGACCAAAGAAAAAAUAUUGGUUGCUCAGUUCUUUACUUUUACUUUUAAUUUAGGUUUUGUAAAAGCGCUAGGGUUAGGGAUUGAAGAGAGAGGAAAAAGAGGUAAACAAAGACGAGAAAGACGAGGCAAAGGAAACUGUGAAAUUUUCUGUCUUUCUUAAUUAGUAAUCGUCUCUAUUGAUCUUCCAUUUUACUUUUGUAGUGUUUUACAAUUAUCUUUUAAACGGAAACUUUCUUUUACAAUUUCCAAUUUUUAUUUUCGGUAAAGAAAUAUCUUAAGAAAGAGUCGUGAACACAAUCUAUGUUUUAUUGGAGUAUUAUUUUUUAACUGUCAUUGUCGUUUCGCUAAUAAUAGUACAAGUGUGUCAGCGUAAGCCGUGACGCUUGCUGGCCUAUAUAUAUAUAUAUAUAUAUAUAUUUGUCUUGUCUCAUCCACAACUUUUUUUUUAUCCUUCUUUUUCUAAUGAUGCAAGGGUGUCUUACUUAUUCUUUGACUUGUUUUCAGACCAUAUAUAUACGUAAGUAACCAUGCAUCCGAAGUACAGCAAGCUAGUCCUCUCCAUCAGAAUCUAUCUUGGGUUCCUUGAAUUUCUUCUCAUAGUUUUACUACUUAAAGACUUUCAACUACGACGCUACCGUCCUGUCCCUGUCCUACAGGUAUCAAUCUUAUUUCCUUUCGUUAUUGUUCUGUUAGGUUGCAGGGAGAUGAAACUUGAAAGACAAGUAUGAGCUUUUGGAUUUCAUAUUGCUUAGAAGUGGAACAGUUUAAUGGUUUACGGUUCCACUGAGACUUUUGCUUCGUAUACUCUUUUUUUUGUUGAAACUUGAAUCUUUAAUCUCAUUUUCGUUUUAUGGUUUACACUUUACGAAGGUUCUGUAAUAUCAGAGAUCAAAAUGGUUUGUGUUCCUUUAUUCCUGGAAUUGGUUUUAGUUGCAAAUUAACCUUUUUUUUAUUUUGUAUAUUCGAAUCUUGGUUAUAAAUUUAACUUUUGUCUGUAUUAUUUGUGUUGAGAUGUCUACAAUUAUCAUUUGCUACAAUUUUGUUUAAUGUUGAAGCAUGAGUGCGGGUUGUUCUCAAUGCAGAUAGGACAUUGUGUUGAAGAGUAAAGAUUGUGCUAUAAAAUUUCCUUUUACAUUUCUCUCUUCUGAAGGAGAAGAUAAGUUCAGUAAAUAUCUAAUCAAUUUUAUGUCUUUAAGGGUGGUGGCUAGUGAUGGCGUUUGAACCGUUGGUUUGGUAUUGUCAGCCAGUGGAAAAUGCGGCUUGGACAAAAGUGGUUGCCGGUGCUUUUGGUGCAUACACACCUUGUGCUAUCGACUCUGUGGUGAUUUCCAUUUCUCACUUGGUUCUUUUGGGCCUGUGUUGUUAUCGUAUAUGGUUGAUUAAGAAGAGCUCCAAAGUCCAGAGGUUUUCUUUGAGGUCAAAAUGCUAUAGUUAUAUGCUUGGUUUGUUGGCUGGUUAUUCUACCAUCGAGCCAUUACUAAAGUUGUUGAUGGGUAUUUCGAUCUUUAAUUUGAAUGGAGAAACUGGUCUUGCUCCCUAUGAGGUAACUUUCUGUUACAACUAGUAGUUGACACCCUUCUUAUUCAUUGCCUCAGGAAAAUUUUAUAGGUACUGGUUUAAAAUGAGGUUCUGCAUUUUAAGUUAAAAUAUUGUAGGACUAUUAUGGCUAUAAAAACAGACCAUUGUUUGUUAGGCUGGAAUUUAUUUGCUGUUGUUUCCAUCACAUUUUACUUCCUUUUGUUGGUUCCUAAUGGUUGAUGGUUAAAUUUUACCAUAAGUUCUGGCAAUUUCAUUUUAGUUAUCAGCUUUGCUUGAACAAAACAACUUGCUUAAACUCGUAUAAUGCUUUAUACAUUUACUCUCUUUGCAGGCAACUUCUUUGAUCAUCUGAGGCACAGCUUGGUUGCUCCUGUGCUUAUUAUGAUAGGACUAGAAACAAAAAGUUACAUCAGGGAGUUUCGGUGGUAUGUGCGUUUUGGAGUUGUUUAUG
rnacentral:lncRNA from 1 species